rnacentral:rRNA from 1 species
CCUACGGGAGGCAGCAGUGGGGAAUUUUGGACAAUGGGCGCAAGCCUGAUCCAGCAAUGCCGCGUGAGUGAAGAAGGCCUUCGGGUUGUAAAGCUCUUUUGUCAGGGAAGAAACGGUGGAGGUUAAUACCUUCUGCUAAUGACGGUACCUGAAGAAUAAGCACCGGCUAACUACGUGCCAGCAGCCGCGGUAAUACGUAGGGUGCAAGCGUUAAUCGGAAUUACUGGGCGUAAAGCGUGCGCAGGCGGUUGUGCAAGACAGAUGUGAAAUCCCCGGGCUCAACCUGGGAAUUGCAUUUGUGACUGUACGGCUAGAGUGUGUCAGAGGGGGGUAGAAUUCCACGUGUAGCAGUGAAAUGCGUAGAGAUGUGGAGGAAUACCGAUGGCGAAGGCAGCCCCCUGGGAUAACACUGACGCUCAUGCACGAAAGCGUGGGGAGCAAACAGGAUUAGAUACCCUGGUAGUCCACGCCCUAAACGAUGUCUACUAGUUGUCGGGUCUUUAUUGACUUGGUAACGCAGCUAACGCGUGAAGUAGACCGCCUGGGGAGUACGGUCGCAAGAUUAAAACNCAAAUGAAUUGACGGCUGAGACGNGCGAGGACGACGACGAGGGAGGAGG